ACGCAUGCACACCCCCAAAGGUCUUGCAAACACCCCCUGCAUGGGGCCAUCCCGGCCCAGGCCCUCCCCGCUGCUGGGUCAACGUGGGCACUGUCAGCCACAUGCCUGGUGGCCAGGAUGGGCCUGCUGCGGGAGGUCGGGGGCCCUGGGGCACCUUCUCUGCCCCUUCCGGGGAUCCCAGUGCUGACCCAGCUUGGGGGGAACCCUGCUGCACCUGAAUCCCAGGACCCCCUGAAGGGCGCUGGGCCCACCCCUCACCCUGAGUUCCCUGCCCAGCAGGAAAGAUCACCCAGUGGGAGGGACCUUGCCGGGGGUGUUGGGGAGCAGGGGCUCCGCCGUCUGGGACAGGCAGCAGCCUUGGGGCUCAGACGGGCUGCCCUGGAGGCCUGAGGAGCUACCGUGUCUUUGCAGCCUGCCAGGUCCCAGGCUCGCUCCUGAAGACCCCUCCACAGCUGUUUUCUUCCCCCUCCGAGCGCUGUCGGCAGCCGUCUUGGGCACAGGAACUCGGGGGCCGCUCGUCUGCUGGGGCAUCUCUGCGGGGCUGUGGGGUUGCCGGUACGCUCCUGACCCCUUCAGGCAGAGGGGCAGGGACUGGGAUGACCAGGGGGCCUUGCCUGUGGAGGCACAUGCCACGCCUGAGGGGCCGGGGCCAGGACAAGGUCUGGUGACAUCGGGGUGGUGCUGGUGGCUGGCAGUGGGGGAGGGAGGUGGAGGUCUGAGCGGUCGCCAGGAUUGCCCCAGCCUCGUUUGGGAGUCCAGGGACCCCUCCCGAAGGGGAUUUUGGCCCCCGACCCCGACAGCAGCCCUUGCUGGCCUCGGGGCUGUUCCCACCACAUGUCAGCAUCCUGGCCUAACCGGGAGGGACCCCGAGGCCGCCUGGUCCCCCUGGACCGGGCUCCCCACAUGGGGCUGCACCCCCGUCCCACAGGUGAGCUGAGCCCGCUGGCUGGGACCCGAGCCUGCCACCUCUGUCCCACCUGUGCCCACAUGCCUUGGAGCCGCCCCACCUGCCCCCGGAAGAGGCCCCAGGGCCACGCAUGCCACAUGCAGUAGGCGUUGUGUGUUUCACUUAAAUCAGCUUCAGUUUUGCAGAACGCAGAACGUUGCUUGAAGUUACAAUAAAUUGUUUUCGUAGGAAACUGCUGUACGUGUGCUGCCCCCCACCAGGAGCCCCACGCCAGGCAUUCUGGGUGUUCCUGCUCUCAUCUGUUCUUCUUUUUAAUUUUUUAGUUUUGUAGAGACGAGGUCUCACUUUGUUGUUCAGGCUGGUCUUGAACUCCUGGACUCAAGAGAUCCUCCUGCCUCAGCCUCCCAGAGUGCUGAGAUGACAGGCGUGAGCCACCGUGUCCGGCCUUGGCUGUCCCUUCUUAACACGCUCAGUGGUCCCUGUGGUUCAGGUGUCUCCAGAAGGAUCUGGAACGGACUCGGGCCUGGCUCCCUUCACAGGAGGCUGAGACCCUGGGUCUGCUGGGACUCGUGUUCAGAGAGUCGCUGGGAUGGACCUGCUGGUGGCCCCCCGCCCCUCGGCCAGCCCCUUCCCCGCCCCCGCCCCGCUGGGCCCUGUGGUCAGGUGUGACGUCCCCUGGAGGAGAACAGGUGGGGCUUCACCCCCUGAGGCUUGGCAGCUGGUCUCCAUCAGAUCAAAGGACUGAAAACUGUGGGUUUGGGGAGUGUUUGGGAAAGAUUUCAACCCCGGGAGCGGGAAUGCACCCGGGCUUGGAUCGCUGCCAUUUCCCAUCUGAGGCACGGGCCCAGUGGGGGCCGGGAGAGCUCAGCAUGACCAGCCAGUGCCCAGGUGCAUGCCCGAGGGGGCGCGUCACGGCUUCCUGUUGAUCCGGAUGCCCCAUGUCUUGGGAGGCACUGACCCUAUGCCAGGUCCUGGAGCCCAUUGCUUGGGGAGGCGGUGGGAACCCCAAGACCCUGAGACAGAGCGGCUGGAUGCAGGGUCCCCCAAGGGGCAGGGGGAUGGCAGGGAAGGGGCGUCAGGCCUGGGGGGAGGCCACCUGCCCCACCCUCCCUCCAAGGCCCUUGUGUGGCUGGGUGGGGCUGGCCCUGGGUCUUCUCCCUCUCCCGUCCCUGAGCGUCACUGGUGACCUCCCUAUGGGCUUGUCCAGCUUGCCAGUACCCUGCGGUUUUGCCUCCUGAGCAUGUUGAAACGCUCCUAGUCCAGCUCUUGCCUGCAGCCACCCCCAUCGAAUCUGGCCUGUUGUGGCCCUCACCCUACAGCCAUGAGUGUGUGGUGCCCCCUCAUUCUCCCCAGCACCUCAGAGGAGGCCCUGCCUGGCUCUAACAUUCCCUGACCUCUGGCCUCUAUACCCCUUCCUGGCCAACUCCUGCUUCUCCAACAGCCCUGCAGACCCCCCCUACCCCAGCUGCUGGGGUCCACCCUGCCGGAGGUAGGAACAGAGCCAGCUGCAUGCCACAGGUGAGGGCUCUCCCCAGGGCCUGGGGAGGGGCAGCAUGACCCCGGGAGGGCAGCUGCAAGGGCCGGGCAGCGCAGCUCACCUGGGCGACCACCAGCCCACCCUCAGUGAGACCCCGCAGCCCCUGUCCAGUGAUGUUCAGAGGGCCAGGGCUCACUGGGCACCCACCGGUCUGCACUUUCAGACUUGACUGCUUGGUGCCUGGGCUGGGAUUUGGGGGCAUUGCCCUUUCUCCGUAUCCCCAGCACCCCGUUCGGGAGCCAGACACUCAGGUGCGCACAGCCGCCACCCCCAGCUCAGCCCCAGCCCUGUGCUGUCCGCUGCGCACAGCCCACUGUGUGGCCUCGAGUGGACUGAAGGUCAUGUCUGGCUGUGAGAGGGGCCCUGGUAGCUGCUGGGCCUCGAGGUGGCUGGGAUGCUGGGCCUCGAGGUGGCUGGGAUGCUGGGCCUCGAGGUGGCUGGGAUGCUGGGCCUCGAGGUGGCUGGGAUGCUGGGCUGGCCCUCCCAUCCAGGGUGGGUUGAGGAGUGGCCAGCAGGAACCACUGCCUGAGGCUGGGCUCAGCCCAGGCUGGUAGACUCAUGUUCCAGAUGGGGAGCUCUCCACCUGCCCUCCUCCAGAGAGGAGCCCUUGUCCUUUCUGUCCACUUAUGCCCCGUGCAGGAAGCAGGUCAGGGUAGGCUGGGGCCCUCAGGAGCGGGCGCGUUUCAGCCUGGGGCGGGGGUAGGAUACGGGCCGCCGGGGCCAUUGAGGUAGCACCACAGGAGGGGUCCUGGCCAGGCCACUCCUCCCUCCAGGUGGGAGCUUAGCUGGGGCGGGACCCCCACCUCCCCGGGUGAGCACUGCCGGCCGGUAGCCUUGGGCAGGCACCCAGGAGAGGUCCCUGGCCUGAGUUCCUCUCACACCUGACUCUGGUACCUCUGAGCCCCAGGGUAGGUGGCUGACUCAUCUCCCCAGCUGGCACCCCAAAUACCUUCUCCCCUUUUCCCAUCCCACGGGUGGUGGCUGUGUGCCACAGGUGAGGGUGCAGAGCCCCCAGCUGUUCCUUGCCCCAAGAGUUUCACCCCCUGACAUGGGGUCCUGGGCAGGCCCUCUAGGGACAGAGCCUUCCUUGCAGGCCGGCCCUGCCAGGCCCUCAGAGUGGGGGUGGCUGUGCCCCACCAGCCCCGAGGGGAAGACCAGGAUCCUGAGGGCUGGGGUGCACCUCCGACGUCCUGGGGGAGAUGUCCCUGCGUUGCCAACUCCAGGCCUGAACCCAAGGCGCCCUCAUCUGAGCAUAGGGAGAGGCUGCCAGGACGGCUGGGUGUCCGGCCGACUGCCCCGCCCGGGCUCUGGAGCUGAUAACCAGCGGAUGCAGAGUGAAAUGCAAACAGAUAAGGUUGUUGGGAACUAGGCCCCUGGACUGCUCCUGGCUGGCAGCCGUGAGGCACCACACUGCCCGGAGCCAGGGGUUAUCGGGGCGCCUUUUGCCCUCAGUGAGUGCAGCUGGAUGGGGAGUUAGUAAGGGCUUGCUCUCCGAGGGUGGCUGGUGAGGGGCUUUGAGGAGGGUAGGGGGACCCUGGGCUGCCGACUCUGAGACUCUGGAGGCUGCUGGUCAAGUGGGGGGUGGAGGUCAAGCUGAAGCUGAGGCUCAUGAGACCACCUCUCUCCCAGGAAUCCUCAUCCCUUUCAUGGGGGUGACGUUUAGGAGUCCCUUUGGGGAGCGUGGCAGGGCCCCAAAAGCACAAGUCAAAUGGCCUCUGAGGGCAGGUGCAGCUCACAGCAAGGGGGCCCUGGGCAGCCCAGGGCGAGACGAAGGGCUUCCAGGGCCCCAGAUGAGGAGCAGGACUGGAUGGGGGGUGGGGCCAGGUCACCAGGAGGUGUCGGAGACCAGGCUGGAAGGUGUCCUGGCCUAGAGUGAGCUGGGAGAGGUGGGUAAACUGAGGACCAGAGCUGGGGGUGGGGAAGGGACCCUGAGCCAGCCUUGGGGGCGGUGGUGCUGUGUGCUGGCGCAGAGUCUGGGCAGGUGCCCCGGCAGAGGUGCCUCUGCCAGCAAUGGCGUUGGGGCCACAGAUCCUGCAGAGAAUUUGAAGAAUUGUUUUUUUUUUCCCCAGAAAAGCUCCAGGUGUUGCAGCCAGACCCGAGUCUCUCUCAGGAAUCACAUCCAGGGCCCGUCCCAGGCAGUGGGACAUGCAGUGGGGGCAGCCACUGAGGCCCAGUUUCAGCAACUACAAACAAAACAGAACACGUGUGUCUGCGUCUCAGAGGAGCAUGUGCUGCCACUUCUCCCGGCGUGGACUGGCUGGGUCACGUGGUCGGCGUCUGAAUUUUUCAGAAACUGCCAAACCGUUUUCCGGCAUGGCUGUGCCAUCGUGCCUCCCACCCAUGAUAGUCUCGUGCUCUGUCGCCCAGGCUGGAGUGCAGUGGUGCAAUCUUGGCUCACUGCAACCUCUGCCUCUCUGGUUCUGGCAAUUCUCCUGCCUCAGCCUCUGGAGUAGUUGGGACUACAGAGGCAAAGGGGACCCAGCGAGAAGGUGCCGUCCAUGAACCAAGGAGUGGCCUCACCAGACAUCGAAUCUGCCAGAGCGUCAAUCUUGAACUUCCCGUCCUCCGCAGCCGUGGGGAUGUGUGUCUGUUGCUUUUACACCACUCAGGCCACGGCAUUUCCGGAUAGCAGCCGGGGUGGAGAGAGCCGCUGUCUCUGUGGGACCACUCUCUUCGUCGCCUGAUGUCCACCAUCUUGACAGCUGUUGUUUCCCAUAUUUCCUGGAGUCCUUUGGUUGCUAAAUCUGGCCUCUGCUACUCCCUUUGCUAAAAAUGCUAGUCCUUGAUUAAAUGGAAUCUUGAUACUUUAA